GUUUGCAGCCGCGUGCCCAUGGUAUGGAGCGUAAAUAGUAUAUUGAGACAUACAGAAGUUGGCCCAUGUAUACAUGUAGGCCACUUUUAGUGUUCCGACACCAGCUUUCAAUGGCGCAAGUACAUGAUCUGUCCAGAAUUUGUGGUGUUUUUCGAUUCCAUUGUUCUGAAUGCCAACUUCCGUUAUGGCGGCAAUUUUGUCAUGCGCAGAAGCCAUUUCCGUUACAACUUUAACAGAAGAUGCAAAUGAUGCUGUGGUAGGUUUAAAAGGUGCUGUAUAGUAAAAAUCGAGGCCCAAAACGUCUACAUAUUGAUCGCCAGGGUAGAAGGUCUGAUAUUCGGCGGCACUUUGAGGUUUGGAUGGUGAAAAGGCAUACAGGAAGUUAUGUACACCUUUUGUGUCUCGAAGAUACUUCACGGUGUAUUGGUACAACUUCUUAUAAUCAGAAACACUGUUGUUCGUGAGACGAUGUGUCCCCCACCAAAACCAGCCUCCGUUCAUUUCGUGGUAUGGUCGGAAUAUGACGGGGAUCAGGUUACCGCGUGCAUCAGUAAGAUUGCCUGCCCAUUCUGCUAUCAUGUCCAUACGUUGUCUGGAAGAAGGAAAUACACACAAGGUCAAACGUUCGAUUAUUUAAACGGCAAUUUAUACACACUCGGGCAACGUAGG
rnacentral:sRNA from 1 species